UUUAAAUUGAGAGUUUGAUCCUGGCUCAGGAUGAACGCUGGCGGCGUGCUUAACACAUGCAAGUCGAGCGAUGAAGUUUCCUUCGGGAAACGGAUUAGCGGCGGACGGGUGAGUAACACGUGGGUAACCUGCCUCAUAGAGUGGAAUAGCCUUCCGAAAGGAAGAUUAAUACCGCAUAAUGUUGAAAGAUGGCAUCAUUAUUCAACCAAAGGAGCAAUCCGCUAUGAGAUGGACCCGCGGCGCAUUAGCUAGUUGGUGGGGUAACGGCCUACCAAGGCGACGAUGCGUAGCCGACCUGAGAG
rnacentral:rRNA from 1 species